rnacentral:misc_RNA from 1 species
GAUGAAGAACGUAGCGAAAUGCGAUAAGUAAUGCGAAUUGCAGAAUUCCAGUGAGUCAUCGAAUCUUUGAACGCACAUUGCGCCCUUUGGUAUUCCGAAGGGCAUGCCUGUUCGAGCGUCAUUAUCACCCCUCAAGCCCCCGGCUUGGUGUUGGACGGUUUGGCGGAGGCCCUCCGGGGCCCUUGCCCCUCCCAAAGACAAUGACGGCGGCCUCGUUGGACCCCCGGUACACUGAGUUCUUCACGGGACACGUACUGGAGUAAGGGUGCGCGGGGCACGGUCUGCCUCCCCUCAGGGAGAAUCUUCUUUUACAAGGUUGACCUCGGAUCAGGUAGGGAUACCCGCUGAACUUAAGCAUAUCAAUAAGCGGAGGA